GGCUCAGGACGAACGCUGGCGGCGUGCUUAACACAUGCAAGUCGAACGAGGAUCAAGGAAGAGCUUGCUCCGAGAUGAUUCGAGUGGCGGACGGGUGAGUAACGCGUGAACAAUCUGUCUCAUACAGGGGGAUAACGCAUCGAAAGAUGUGCUAAUACCGCGUAGGACCACAGCAUCGCAUGGUGCAGGGGUGAAAGGAGCAAUCCGGUAUGAGGUGAGUUCGCGUCUGAUUAGAUAGUUGGUGAGGUAACGGCCCACCAAGUCAACGAUCAGUAGCCGACCUGAGAGGGUGAUCGGCCACAUUGGGACUGAGACACGGCCCAGACUCCUACGGGAGGCAGCAGUGGGGAAUAUUGGGCAAUGGGCGAAAAAGCCUGACCCAGCAACGCCGCGUGAAGGAAGAAGGUUUUCGGAUCGUAAACUUCUGUCCUUGGUGAAGAUAGUGACGGUAGCCAAGGAGGAAGCCCCGGCUAACUACGUGCCAGCCGCCGC
rnacentral:rRNA from 1 species